GCUGAGCUGGAUGAUGAAUACAAAAGAGUUUGUGCCGAGUUUCACCAUAUCAGAGAAAGUGGCACACACCAGCAAGAUUUCACAGAUGUUGCAUGACAUUCGAAAUGUUUGAUCUUCAGUGUACGUGUGUGAGGAGAACUGUUCUUCAGGACAUGAAAUGAGGAAUUGGGCGAGCCAGACAUCACUGACACAAACAUCUCUCCUGCUGAUUUUGUUAUCAUGGACAACGAAACCACUACAAGUCCUGCAAGCACUGC